AUUGAACGCUGGCGGCAUGCUUUACACAUGCAAGUCGAACGGUAACAGGCCGCAAGGUGCUGACGAGUGGCGAACGGGUGAGUAAUGCAUCGGAACGUGCCCAGUCGUGGGGGAUAACGCAGCGAAAGCUGCGCUAAUACCGCAUACGAUCUAUGGAUGAAAGCGGGGACCGUAAGGCCUCGCGCGAUUGGAGCGGCCGAUGUCAGAUUAGGUAGUUGGUGGGGUAAAGGCUCACCAAGCCAACGAUCUGUAGCUGGUCUGAGAGGACGACCAGCCAAACUGGGACUGAGACACGGCCCAGACUCCUACGGGAGGCAGCAGUAGGGAAUUUUGGACAAUGGGCGAAAGCCUGAUCCAGCCAUUCCGCGUGCAGGAUGAAGGCCCUCGGGUUGUAAACUGCUUUUGUACGGAACGAAAAGGCUCUGGUUAAUACCUGGGGCUCAUGACGGUACCGUAAGAAUAAGCACCGGCUAACUACGUGCCAGCCGCCGCGGUAACAC
rnacentral:rRNA from 1 species